ACACACCGCCCGUCACUCUCUCCUAGUCUAACAAAUUUAUAUUUAUAAUUUCCCUUACCUAGCAAAGGGGAGACAAGUCGUAACAUGGUAAGUGUACCGGAAGGUGUACUUGGACAAAUCAAAGUGUAGCUAAAUAGAAAAGCAUCUCUUUUAC
rnacentral:rRNA from 1 species